rnacentral:antisense_RNA from 1 species
CUUCAGCGACCCCAGGUACACCGGCUGUGGCCGGUUCUGGCCGUACGUGGCCAGGAUCGCCUGCGCCUC